rnacentral:snoRNA from 1 species
GCUAUUGAUGACUUGAUCCAGCUUGUAUGAGUUGCAGUGGAGCCAAGUUCCUGUUUUACAGGAAGAACCUACUUGGUGAAGCUACAGUUCACUGAUAUUAAUGGAUUGAACUGAAGC